rnacentral:SRP_RNA from 11 species
UCAUGAUAGUGCGGCAACGUCUGUGCGUAGCACCACAAUGGGUGAUGUCAUGGACGAGAUAAGGGCUGCGGCCAAGGAGCGAGGAAGGGAACGGGACAGGGCAGAGAAGCAGCAAGC